rnacentral:rRNA from 1 species
AUUGAACGCUGGCGGCAGGCCUAACACAUGCAAGUCGAACGGUAACAGGAAGCAGCUUGCUGCUUCGCUGACGAGUGGCGGACGGGUGAGUAGUGUCUGGGAAACUGCCUGAUGGAGGGGGAUAACUACUGGAAACGGUAGCUAAUACCGCAUAACGUCGCAAGACCGAAGAGGGGGACCUUAGGGCCUCUUGCCAUCGGAUGUGCCCAGAUGGGAUUAGCUAGUAGGUGGGGUAACGGCUCACCUAGGCGACGAUCCCUAGCUGGUCUGAGAGGAUGACCAGCCACACUGGAACUGAGACACGGUCCAGACUCCUACGGGAGGCAGCAGUGGGGAAUAUUGCACAAUGGGCGCAAGCCUGAUGCAGCCAUGCCGCGUGUAUGAAGAAGGCCUUCGGGUUGUAAAGUACUUUCAGCGGGGAGGAAGGGAGUAAAGUUAAUACCUUUGCUCAUUGACGUUACCCGCAGAAGAAGCACCGGCUAACUCCGUG